CCGCGCAUGCUCAGAGCGAGACACUGAGAGCUCGCUGGGGAGCACUGCGAAGAGAGCGUGCUAGGCGGAGAGGCGAGCGGGAUUGCACCCACCAGAGCCGCCUGGGCUCUGCGGAGUCCCCGGUCGGCAGCAGGGAAACCCGAUCGCAAAUGUGCGCGCUGCGCGGGACUCCGGGACUCCCGUGGCGCUGCAAGCCGGUGGCGGGAUCUCCACCCAUCCUAGGAGACUACUUCUGCUGCACGCUCUAGUUUCACUCUGUGGAGAGCAUAAAAGGGCACCGUCCACUGGGGUCCUCCAAACAGGUUUGAUAGUCCAGAGCAAAGAGCAACACAGCACAACCCGCUUCCAAGGGGCGGAGGGGGAGUAAAGGAAGUAAUAAUGCUGAGUGACACUCGAACAGCGGGACAAUUAGAUCAAAUCCUAGAGUGCACCCGGAGGAGAGAAAGCAGCGUGUCUAAAUACUACCAACAAAAACAAAGUUUGGGAGAAAAGACUUGGAGGUAGGCAAGGAGGAUGGGGGAACUUCUUCAACGAAAGAAAGCAUUCAGGGUGUAGGGGCAGGUGCUUUCUCCUGGUGGUUCAUUGAAAGGAGCAGAAUUGCAGCAUCUUUUUGCUUAAAGGACAAAAGUCUGAAUCUCCACUCACCGGGUAGCCUGGGGAUCAGACUCUUCUGAAAAGCAGCGACACAUUUAUAGUGAGCCACUCAAAUUUUUGCUAUUUUUUUUUUGCCUGUUUUUAUCAAGCGUCCCCUCUGGUACUGGGCCAGGAGAAGGUACAUAAGACAGAUCUGUCGCAUUCUUCUCAGAACAGUAAACAGUGUUUAGUGGAAUUUCAAGGUGUCUACACUGCCAGGGCCAGUUUGCUUUCUGAAGCCAGGAAAGCCAUACUCUUUGCCCUGACAUCACUUAAGCACUAGAUGUAAGGGGAAUCCAAGAACUAGGGGAAAACCAGAACAGAGAGGUGAGCUGGGGAGGACCCUACACUUUGCAGUUCUACCUGUAAGAAAUAAAACAAAGGUACUUUCUCCUACAGUCAAUCCAAGAAACAUAUUCUCCUUUGUCUGAGCCUGGCAUCCUGUGAGGAGGAAAGGAAUGCUACUCCUCCAGCGCCCAGGAGCACCCUGUUCACUAUCUCAAAGCAUAAAGUAGCUCCAACGAAGUCCAGAAUGUUACUCCUUAUGAAUUCAGAACUGUAAAUAAGGUAAAAUCCCUUUAUGGUCCUUCUGCUACAAGUGAAGAAGCAGUUCUGGAAUAGAAUUUUCCUGUUUGGAAAGAGUUGAGAGUCAGGGGAACGCAAAGGAUAUUACGUAGUGCCUCACACAUAGCAAGCUCUCUGCAACUUGUGGUUAUUAACAUUUUCAUUACUAUGAUUUUUUUUAAAGAUGAGUUUUUUUCUUAUGAUUAAAUAAUAAAACAGAUUAAAUAAUAAAACAGAUGAUUAAAUAAUAAAGCCACAUGCCCUACAAUUUUCCUUCUGGCCUCCUCCAAUCACCCUUUCACCCAUCACACUGAUGUACUUAAAU